UACGAGAGGCCCAAACGUUAUUCGGAAUUACUGGGCUUAAAGAGUUCGUAGGCGGCGCGGUAAGUGGGGUAUGAAAGCCCUCGGCUCAACCGAGGAAUUGCGCUCCAAACUACCGUGCUUGAGGAAGCUAGAGGUGAGCAGAACUGAUGGUGGAGCGGUGAAAUGCGUUGAUAUCAUCAGGAAUACCGGAGGCGAAGGCGGCUCACUGGGGCUUUUCUGACGCUGAGGAACGAAAGCCAGGGUAGCGAACGGG
rnacentral:rRNA from 1 species